rnacentral:misc_RNA from 1 species
CCCCAUCCCCCACCUUCUGUGUAAAUCCAUGUAAAUUUGUACAGUUACCGAUGAAACCAUGUUGUUUGUUGACUGAUGAUGAUAGCUCAGGUUGCAGCACUUCCACCAUUACACUGACAAUUCCAUUCUGCCGCGAGUACACUCGUUCUCGUUCUCAUCUCUCUGACGCCAGUACACUCAUUCUCAUAUCUCUGCCGCGAGUGCACUAGUUCUCAUUUCUCUCAUCACUCGCGCACUGGCUGGCCCCUGAACAUAAGCCGAACAAGCAGGAGCAGCUCUGACCCAUCACAUAAAGAACUACUGCCGGGACAUCUCAACCAGAGUCCUCUAUUCUAAUGGAAAUUCUAAAUGGAACCUCUUGACAUCGCUGGAAUGCAAAUGAAUCUAUUUAUGUCUCAUGUUCAUAUUUGACACCUCAAAGGUUAACAGGUCAUUGAGUGGAAGAGUUUUUAAGUGCUGAAUUUUUAAAACCCUGUUUGCAUUAUGAAAAUGAUUACAAUUAAGUGGAUGUAAAAUUUAAUUGACAGACUAUUUCAAAGACAAGAUGUUUUAACAGUUAUUACAUGUAUUGCUGUUUUUCUUAUGAACCAUAUUUGGAAAGCAAUUUUUGGUUCGAGAAUUUUGCAUGUUGGUAUUAAGGAAAAACAAUUAUUAAUUGAAAAUUGUCUUAUGUGGAAGGAUAGUCAGGUAUUGGAAAACUUUAUUUUGUAUGUUUGAAUUAUUUUUUUUUCCAUGUCUUCAUAUCUAUGGAAUACACUGCCUACAAUUGUUCAUCAAAUCAGCACUGAUAGCGAGAGUAGCAUUGAUUGAAGAGAAUGUAUUUUUAUGUAAAUUUUGUAUAUCAUUUCAUUAAAACUGGUAGUUCAUUGUA